rnacentral:lncRNA from 1 species
GCGGACUCCGCGGACAAGGCCAGGCCUAGCCUUGAGCUCCGUCGGGCAGGGCCGCCGGGAUUGGUGUCCGGCAGAGCGUGAGCCCAGCGGGCUGGAGUCGGCGAGCGGGAGUGAAAGAAGAAAAGCUAGAGAGCGAAGGCAAAGCCCGAGGAGAGAGGGCCGCGGUCGGCGGAGGAAUCUGACUGCACGGUUGCGUGCGCUCACUCCCGGAGGGCUCCCUCAGGCGGGCGGCUCCGCUAGUGGCUAAAGGCAAAGCAUUCCGGGGCGCGGCGCAUGAAGUUGAGCUUCGUCCCUGCUAGCCGCCGCUUUCUCCCCAAAAAUACAUCCUAGCCUUAAUGUUUAUGCCUCCAUUGCCCCAGUUCUUAUCUGUUUUGCUCAAUGUCUCAUAGCUACAAGAAGGCAAUUUCUGACGAAGCCCUCCGUCCCUUCCAAAUGGAUUAUUUUGGCGGGCUUCCACCCGGACAGUAUGCCACCCGAAUGACUGGACAAGUGCACGGGAGCGGCUGUCAUUUGCGGAGUGCGCCUUGCGAUCUAGGCGCCUCACAGCGCAAAUUAUCCAGUAAUUUCUCUGAAAUCGAUGCUGGUUUGUUUUCCCAAGGCAAAUCAGCAGCUUAUACAGACAUUGGGGCCACAAAGCCGGUGGAACAACGGGAGACGGCUUCCUGAGUGUCAGGUCCUCCAAGAUGAGCUUAAACUUCGGGUGGUGGGCAGGCUCGGUAGGCGGGAAAGGCCCGUGUCCAGAUGAAUGCAGUCCAUGUUUAUAUUGAUGAAAGACACGUAUACCAUUUGGUCCAGCUCAACCAUUCUUAACAAGUGCUGGCUGUGAGCACUGGUGUGUGUGUGCCUGCGUGCAACCAGCAAUGUAAGUGAUGACCAGCUGCAUGAUGCCUUAAUUUGAGUGGACAAAGUCGGUCAAGAACCACUUUCAGGCUUCUGGGUCUCCAAGUCUUUGUCUCCCUGUAUCCAAACGAGGCAUUCCAAGUUUGACAGCAUGGAACAUUGCAUGUCCGAAAUACCAACCGUGAAACUGGGUAAAAAGCUUCAGGAGGUGAUAUUGAUGUGUAUAGUUUAGGAAAUAAAACCCAAUACUUACUUCAAAGAACGUAAUUUGUGGCUUUUUAGAGAGAAGGAUACUUUGACAGUUUUCAUUUGUCGUCUACAUGUAUAUGGUACGUUUCAUUCUGCCUUUUAAUUAAUUUGGUAUUUUACUAUGAAAACUACUUUGUAUUAAUAAAAUAAUGUAUUUCCAAUGUUAUAAGUUGUGUUAUAACAGUUUCAAAAGCCAAAUAAACAAGAUGCAUUUUGAU